rnacentral:rRNA from 1 species
CCAGACUCCUACGGGAGGCAGCAGUGGGGAAUAUUGCACAAUGGGGGAAACCCUGAUGCAGCGACGCCGCGUGAGCGAGGAAGUAUUUCGGUAUGUAAAGCUCUAUCAGCAGGGACGAAAAAAGACGGUACCUGACUAAGAAGCCCCGGCUAACUACGUGCCAGCAGCCGCGGUAAUACGUAGGGGGCAAGCGUUAUCCGGAUUUACUGGGUGUAAAGGGAGCGUAGACGGCAAGGCAAGCCAGAAGUGAAAGGGCAGGGCUCAACCCUGUACAUGCUUUUGGAACUGUGGUGCUAGAGUGCAGGAGAGGUAAGUGGAAUUCCUAGUGUAGCGGUGAAAUGCGUAGAUAUUAGGAGGAACACCAGUGGCGAAGGCGGCCUGCUGGACAGAAACUGACGUUGAGGCUCGAAAGCGUGGGGAGCAAACAGGAUUAGAUACCCGCGUAAU